UCUUUUUCAAAUCUCUGCCUCAUUGUCAGUUGAAUUCGCGAAACCAGAGCGAAACUGUUGAAUAUUAUGGUGUUGAUUAAAACAUUGACUGAAGAUUUGUACUAAAUAUAUUUAUGUUAAUCAGAUGGAUGAUCAUCGAGUUGCAAAAAGGAGUUGAACUAAUCAGCAAUUACUGACCGAAGUUUGUUCUUCUUAAGGGCGAUGCAGUCAAGACUUGUGAUGUGAUUAGACAGUACGUAACCGUUGAUAUUAUCUAAGGAUUAUGAGUGCCAAAAAAAGUCAAGAAGUAAAUUCGCCACAUUCUCCUAGCAACAGGAGAAAGCACUGUAGAGUUUUCGACAAUAUCUCAUGCACAAGCAACGUAUCCGCUCGUUGGACCUCAAUUUUCAGUUGCUGCUCGAGACCUAAUCGCGGAGAGCCUGCAAAUCUCGCUUUGCGAGAGUUUAAUCCAAAUGAUUUCGACUAUAUUGUUGAAAAACUUGUGGUUAAACGCGUCCCUCUAUCGCUAUAUGCAACCGAAGAAGAUUUUCAAGAUUUUAUCGACGAAAAAAAUCACAAAGAAACUCCGCAUGGACCCUUCGCAAAUGCUGCCAUGAAAGAGAUGCGGGAUAGACAAGUGUAUUCAACAAUUUCUGGAGUCAGUUCAGCGUUACAUUUUUUUAAAAAUAAAAUCCCUGAGGAUUUAUUGGUAAAACAAUCCAAUAAGAAUCUACGAUUCAAUAAAGAUCGAGACAUAUUGGACGAAGACGCUGCGGAGGCUGGACCCUCAAGUUAUGUCAACGCCAGAUACGAUAUACAGUCCUUGCGCACGCGAGAAGAGGAGCACGCGAAAAAUGAAUAUUUGAAUCAAUUUUCUGCCCUGCAUCCUGAUUUAAAGGAGAGUGAAAGGCCGAUCAAAGAUCCCAACCCAUUAAAUCCACCUCAAAGUACGCGAUCAUUGGCCGAAGAUUUGUCGGAGAUUGCAUCGAUGAAAAAAAAUCUCAAUACGAAAUCGAAAAACGGGAGAGGAACUGGUAAACACAACUCCAACGUCUAUGUCACUGUCUCUGGUACUUCCAAAGAAUUAUCAACCCGCGUUUUGAACGAUGAAGAAAUAACACCUACGCGAUCAGACAAUAAAUAUACUGCUAAACAUACGUCGAUUUAUCGUAAAAUGGGCAUUGCAUCAUGUUUACCUUACUCGCAAAAAACUCCUAAGGGACGUCCGACCAGAUCAGAGAAAAGCAAACAGAUCUAUAAGGAGUCUGCAGCAACAUCAUCUGAAAAUGGGAACUUUCAUGAAAAGUCUCAACCUAGAGCAGAACGUUAUGCUACACCCGAUAAGCCUGGAAUCGCUAAACUAAAUAACAAUGAAACAAAUUUUUCCGCAGAGUCAGAUGCAAGUUUUAGAACCGAGAGCCGAAAUUAUCUGGAUCCGUUAUCAAAGCUGGCAGAUGAAGAAUAUACUACUGAUGCAACCUCGUAUACGUCUGAUGAUUUGAAAAAUGCAAAUUCCGCCGGUACUACCUUGAGAUGGAAAAUCAUAAUCAAACAUCAUAAACCCUCGACGGCGUCUCCAGAAGCUGGCGGAACGACCUCAGAUUUUCCGAAAGCUACUGCUACAAUUAUACCUGCACUAAAUGAUGAAUAGAUAUAAGCUUCACAUUUGUAAAGCUAUACAUGAAAAUAAUUCUAAUUUUACAUGCGCAUAUAUCUAUGCCUGAGAAUAAUUAAUAAUCCGAUAUUGUGGGGGAUAUAUAUUUUUGAUUUGGCAAGAAUUCCAAAAAAUAUAAUAAAUUUCUUACGCAUUCGUAAUUCUGUCAAACCCAAUAAAUUCAAGAUAACGGGGCCAUCACAGUCCAUAUUAUACAUCGUUGAUUUUUUAGAUUAUUUCUUCAUUACUUCCUUUAAUUUUCUCAGCCAAAGAAGAAUUUUUAACGUAUGCAUACGUAUUAUAUCUGGGUGUACGCAUUGAGUAACUAUACUUCGUAUGAAACGUAAGUGGUAAACGUAAGUGGUCCGUGUUUUAAAUCCACCCCCAACGAAAUCAGUUGAGGGAAAAAGGAACUUGUCGAUUGUGGAAACCAAGGGAAGGAGGGGGGGGGGGGACCAAAGGGCAACGUUUUGGUGCCUUUUGGCCCAUUCAUAAUAUCGUUCUCCUUAUAAACUGUAAUCAGCGUCAAAGUAAAUAAUGAAUCCGUUAACGUGAGUAACAUUCACUUAACUUUCACGUACCUCGAAUUUGCUACCGAAAUGUCAAAAACAUCACGAAAUUAGCAGAACAGGAAUUGACACGUCCCAGCAAAUCUUCGUGGCAUGACAAAUACAAA